AGAGUUUGAUCCUGGCUCAGAAUCAACGCUGGCGGCGCGCCUAACACAUGCAAGUCGAACGAGAAAGGGGAGCAAUCCCUGAGUACAGUGGCGUACGGGUGAGUAACACGUGGAUGAUCUGCCCCUUAGUGGGGAAUAACCCUGGGAAACCGGGGCUAAUACCGCAUAAGCUCGAGAGAGGAAAGCAGCAAUGCGCUGAGAGAGGAGUCCGCGGCCGAUUAGCUAGUUGGCAGGGUAAACGCCUACCAAGGCAAAGAUCGGUAGCCGGCCUGAGAGGGCACACGGCCACACUGGCACUGAAACACGGGCCAGACUCCUACGGGAGGCAGCAGUGGGGAAUCUUGCACAAUGGGGGAAACCCUGAUGCAGCGACGCCGCGUGAGCGAUGAAGCCCUUCGGGGUGUAAAGCUCUUUCGGCAGGGACGAUCAUGACGGUACCUGCAGAAGCAGCUGCGGCUAACUACGUGCCAGCAGCCGCGGUAAUACGUAGGCAGCGAGCGUUGUUCGGAGUUACUGGGCGUAAAGGGUGUGUAGGCGGUUGCUUAAGUUUGGUGUGAAAUCUCCCGGCUCAACUGGGAGGGUGCGCCGAAUACUGAGUGACUCGAGUGCGGGAGAGGAGAGUGGAAUUCCUGGUGUAGCGGUGAAAUGCGUAGAUAUCAGGAGGAACACCGGCGGUGUAGACGGCUCUCUGGACCGUAACUGACGCUGAGACACGAAAGCGUGGGUAGCAAACAGGAUUAGAUACCCUGGUAGUCCACGCCCUAAACGAUGCAUAUUUGGUGUGGGUCAUUCAGUUGAUCCGUGCCGGAGCUAACGCGUUAAAUAUGCCGCCUGGGGAGUACAGUCGCAAGGCUGAAACUCAAAGGAAUUGACG
rnacentral:rRNA from 1 species